UUCUGACGACGCUUAUCUCAGUCUAGUGUCCGUGACCAGAGGGAGGGGUGGGCAGGUAGACGGCGGAGCCUGAGCUGCCAGCCAGCAGGGUGAUGUCCCCCACAGGGUCACAGCCUGACCUCCACAUCCUCUGCCCUCGGCCACAGCCACAGGCCGGGACAAAGUGGGCCCAGGGACGAGGCUGUCUCUCCAGGAGCCCGGGCUCUCACCCUACUCUGCAGUUUGCUGUGAAAUGGUGCUGUGUCUUGGGUGGGUCAUUUACCCCAACUUUAUAGACUGGGAAACUCAAGUUCAAUGCGUGCUUGCAGAAGCUGUGGGGCCCCGGCCAGAGGGCUGACCACCUGUGGGCACCCCCUUUCCCAGGGAUGGCCAUUACACCUGUUUCACAGACGGGGGGGCCAGCUCAGACAAGCCAGUGGAGGUGCCAGCAUGGGACUGGGCAGAUGUCUCAUCCAGAUGCCUUCCUACCUUCCUCCUGGCGGCUCCGGACAGGUGCGUGUGGCUAGCAGCUGCCAGUCUUGGGCAGUGCCAUUCUGGGCAGGGAUUCCCACGUGCCUGUCCACCGGGGCUGGAGGGUGCUGACAUAUCUGAGAAGCUGGAGGGACAUGGUCGGAGACACAGUGAGCAGCAAGGUGCAAGAUGAAGCCAGUGGGUCUUUUUGACACUGGGUGAUGCAUUUCGGUUUUUUGUUUUUAACCAUAAGAGCUGCGGGUCAGUUGUAGUUUGUGAUCCUGAGUCCAGAUGAGAGUUACCCAGCUGACUCUGGACCCACACCCUUACUCCCCCUGACAGAGGAGGAAGCCAUGGAAGGGGGCAGCUACCCCUGAGAUUCCAGAAGGGAGACACAUUAGUGAGGGCUCCCCAGAGAAGCAGAAUCUCUAGGUUCCUGGGGGACCUUCUGUCCUAUCCAGGCCCACAGUGGAUGGACCACCCCAGACACACUGGGGAGGGCCAUCUGCCUGACUCAGUCCACCAAUUCAAAUGUUUACAUCAUCCAGAAACACCCUCAUAGACAUGUCCAGAGUGAUGCUUACCAAAUGUCUGGGCCCCUCAUGGCCGGUCAAGUUGACACAUAAAAUUAUCCAUCUUGGCAGGUACCUCGUUCUACUCUAAACACGUGCAGGAUGCCGUGGAUGUGUCAGCCACGAAGCCAUCUCUGCCCACAGCCCUGGUGCCAUGGGCCCUGGGUUCCAGCUCUGGGACUCCACUUUGGCCAUGCCCGAUCUGGGAAAGACAGCCCAGCAGAGACUCCCCCAUCCAGAGGCUGCCUGAAGCCCUGUCACCAGUACAAGCAGGGAUCUAGUGGUGACCUGGACAAUCAGAACCUCUCCCUGUCACAGGACUGGGACUCAGAAACUUGAGGAAUCUCGUUAGUUGAGUUGAUAGAAGGUCAGGGUCUCAUCGGAGGCUGAGACAUGUGGGAGCAGUGGGAGCUGGAGGAGGAGCUGCGUGCCUAGAUGGAGGCAGGGGUCCUCUGUGAGGCCUGGGGACUCCUCACGUGAGGGGUGGUGCUCUAAGCUGCUUCCAGACGCUGUCCACCAGCAUCAUCAGUGACCUGACCUCAAACUACCAGUUCCCUAUG
rnacentral:lncRNA from 12 species